rnacentral:ncRNA from 12 species
GUCCUAUAAAGAUGUAUUAACGCAAGACAGUUGGGCAUCUCCCUGUAGGAUGUAGAUUAAUAGAAAUUCUAACAACAAUUCUUAUUGUGUGGCUACGGUCGAAAUAAGAUGAGCUAGGACGGAAUAGGUUAACCGUAAGACCUUGAGUUGAAAAACUCUAAAAUUGAGCUAAAAAUGUGGAUUUCUUAAAUUUCGCAUUUUCUAGUUACGGCGUU